rnacentral:rRNA from 1 species
GAUGAACGCUGGCGGCGUGCCUAAUACAUGCAAGUCGAGCGAACGGACGAGAAGCUUGCUUCUCUGAUGUUAGCGGCGGACGGGUGAGUAACACGUGGAUAACCUACCUAUAAGACUGGGAUAACUUCGGGAAACCGGAACUAAUACCGGAUGAUAUUUUGAACCGCAUGGUUCAAAAGUGAAAGACGGUCUUGCUGUCACUUAUAGAUGGAUCCGCGCUGCAUUAGCUAGUUGGUAAGGUAACGGCUUACCAAGGCAACGAUGCAUAGCCGACCUGAGAGAGUGAUCGGCCACACUGGAACUGAGACACGGUCCAGACUCCUACGGGAGGCAGCAGUAGGGAAUCUUCCGCAAUGGGCGAAAGCCUGACGGAGCAACGCCGCGUGAGUGAUGAAGGUCUUCGGAUCGUAAAACUCUGUUAUUAGGGAAGAACAUAUGUGUAAGUAACUGUGCACAUCUUGACGGUACCUAAUCAGAAAGCCACGGCUAACUACGUG